AGAGAGAGACAUGCGCGCAUAUCAAUAAGCGGAGGAAAAGAAACUAACAAGGAUUCCCUUAGUAACGGCGAGUGAAGCGGGAAGAGCUCAAAUUUGAAAGUCUUCAAGGUUUUACCUUGACGAAUUGUAGUUUAAAGAAGUGUUUUCUGCUGAAGUUUUGGUAAAAGUUCUUUGGAAUAGGACAUCAUAGAGGGUGAGAAUCCCGUAUUUGACCAUUAUUUUCCAGCUUUGUGAUACACUUUCAAAGAGUCGGAUUGUUUGGGAAUGCAGUCCAAAAUGGGUGGUAAAUUUCAUCUAAAGCUAAAUAUUGGCGAGAGACCGAUAGCGAACAAGUACCGUGAGGGAAAGAUGAAAAGAACUUUGAAAAGAGAGUUAAACAGUACGUGAAAUUGUCAAAAGGGAAGCGUUUGACACCAGUGUUGUUUUCUCGAAAAUCAAUUAAAAAUGGCUCGAUUUUGUAUUGCUUGAGACCUUAAAAGCUCACUGUACAUUUUUCGUGUCUUUUUUAAUGCACUUUUCGUUUAACAAGUCAACAUCAGUUUCUUUUGUUGUAAAAGGGUCAUUGGAAGGUGGCUUUCUUUUCGGAGAAAGUGUUUAUAGCCUUUGGCCUCUGCAAUCGAAGAGACUGAGGUCUGCAGCGUAGACUCUUCGGGGUUAGAUACAUUUGUGCUGAGUUAUAGCUUUUUAUAGACAACUUGUUGACUAUAAUUAGUCUUGUAGCUUACUCGCUUAUGCUAUUUUACCUACGCUUAGGAUGUUGAAGAUGUAGCACAUCAU
rnacentral:rRNA from 1 species